GAAUUUUGGACAAUGGGGGCAACCCUGAUCCAGCCAUCCCGCGUGUGCGAUGAAGGCCUUCGGGUUGUAAAGCACUUUUGGCAGGGAAGAAAAGGCCCUGGCUCAUACCUGGAGCUGCUUACGGUACCUGCAGAAUAAGCACCGGCUAACUACGUUCCACCAGCCGCGGUAAUACGUAGGGUGCAAGCGUUAAUCGGAAUUACUGGGCGUAAAGCGUGCGCAGGCGGUUUGGCAAGAAGGAUGUGAAAUCCCAGGGCUUAACCUUGGAACUGCAUUCUGAACUGCCAGGCUAGAGUAUGUCAGAGGGGGGUAGAAUUCCACGUGUAGCAGUGAAAUGCGUAGAGAUGUGGAGGAAUACCGAUGGCGAAGGCGGCCCCCUGGGAUAAUACUGACGCUCAUGCACGAAAGCGUGGGGAGCAAACA
rnacentral:rRNA from 1 species